UCCGGUUUGUCACCGGCAGUUUCCUAAGAGUGCGCCUCUUGCGAGGGUGGCAACAUAGGAUAAGGGUUGCGCUCGUUGCGGGACUUAACCCAACAUCUCACGACACGAGCUGACGACAACCAUGCAGCACCUCUACUAGCUCCCUUGCGGGUCAUUCCUGUUUCCAGGUUUUACCACUAGCUCUUCAAGCCCAGGUAAGGUUUUUCGUGUUGCGUCGAAUUAAACCACAUACUCCACCGCUUGUGCGGGCCCCCGUCAAUUCCUUUGAGUUUUAGCCUUGCGGCCGUACUCCCCAGGCGGGGCACUUAAUGCGUUAGCGUCGGCACGGGAGGAGUCGACACCUCCCACACCUAGUGCCCAUCGUUUACAGCGUGGACUAC
rnacentral:misc_RNA from 1 species